CGAACGACUCUCGGCAACGGAUAUCUCGGCUCUCGCAUCGAUGAAGAACGUAGCAAAAUGCGAUACAUGGUGUGAAUUGCAGAAUCCCGCGAACCAUCGAGUUUUUGAACGCAAGUUGCGCCCGAGGCCUUCUGGUCGAGGGCACGCCUGCCUGGGCGUCACGC
rnacentral:rRNA from 2 species